CCUACGGGAGGCUGCAGUAGGGAAUCUUCCGCAAUGGACGAAAGUCUGACGGAGCAACGCCGCGUGAGCGAAGAAGGUCUUCGGAUCGUAAAGCUCUGUUGUUAGGGAAGAACAAGUAUCGGAGGAAAUGCCGGUACCUUGACGGUACCUGACGAGAAAGCCACGGCUAACUACGUGCCAGCAGCCGCGGUAAUACGUAGGUGGCAAGGGUUGUCCGGAUUUAUUGGGCGUAAAGCGCGCGCAGGCGGUCCUUUAAGUCUGAUGUGAAAUCUUGCGGCUCAACCGCAAGCGGUCAUUGGAAACUGGGGGACUUGAGUGCGGAAGAGGAAGGCGGAAUUCAACGUGUAGCGGUGAAAUGCGUAGGGAUGUGGAGGAAAACCAGGGGCGAAGGCGGCUUCCUGGCCUGUACCUGACGCUGAGGCGCGAAAGCGUGGGAGCAAACAGGAUUAGAUACCCUUGUAGUC
rnacentral:rRNA from 1 species